AUACAAAUCUUGAAAUUUACAAAUUAUUAAUAAAUUAAUCAUUUAUUUAAAUUUAUAUAUUUAAUUAAUUAUUUAUAACUAUGCCAAUAUUCAGAUUUUAUUGUAUCUAUAUUAGUAAUUAUGCUAUGCAGGCGUGUUUUAUCUUUACUGUGUUUUCGUCGUCACAUUGUAACAGCAGGCAAUGCUCGACUUUUGCUGCGUUUCUGCCGUCACAUUGUAACGGCAGACCAUGCUCGAUUUCUGCCGCAUUUCUGCCGUCAGAUCUGAUAUGGCAAACUUCGCUCGAUUUUUGUUACAUAUUUGUUGUCACGACGUAAUAGCAAAUAAUACUCGAUUUCUGCUCUAUUUUCUCUGUGAUAUUAUAUCGGCAAGCCGUGCUGUCAGAAAUUAAGUUUAAUAAAGACGCAGCAGAGCGGAAUCUGCUGCGAAGUCAUGAUUGAAUUUGCUGGCAUACUGUUGGCAUACUGCUAGCAUUUUGCUAUCUAGGAUUGCAUUUUGCUAUCUAGGAUCUUAAGUAUAAACAUCUCAAAUCUGUAUGACACUACAUAUAAGGGUCAUUUCGUCGUAUUUUUAAGACAAAGAAAUAAAAUCAAGGUUAUGAAGAGGAUCUCAAUCCUGUAGAUUUCAUCUAAGUUGGAUAAAGCAGGGAUCAAAUUUGAUGAGAUUUCUAAUAUUUCCAGAAAUUGUUGGAAAACGUCAUUUGUCUCAAGAUCGGCAGCAAUUAAUGCUACAUCUAAUCUAUACCUGAAGGCUCAAAAUUUGGAAGCAUUUAUUCCCAGUCAUUUGAUAUAUCGGAGGAGAGUUAUAUAGGAUGUACCUCUUGAAUCAUCCCUGUCGCAACUUCAAAAAAGAAUCAAUAAUAAAAAUAAGAUUCAUGUGGUAAACUCUUUCCGUUUAAAGAAAAGGGACAGAAAAUUAGGCAAAUGGGUUGAUUCGCGUUCGGUUUGUCUGGAAUUCAAGGGAUAAAAUCUACCUAGUUCCAUCUUUAUCUGGAAAGCUAAAAUCUCUAUGUCACAUUAUAUUCUAUCGGUAAAUUUGCUUUAAAUGUGAUAGAUUAAGCCACGUAAGAAAAACUUGUCAAGAAAAGAAUCUGGUCUAUGGAGGAAAUCAUCGACUGUCCAAGGAGCUUACAUAUACUGAAAAAAAGAUGUUGCAUUAAUUGUAACGAAGAAUAUGCCUCAUUCGACAGAAAAUGCGUAAGUACCAAAAACAUGCAGCGAUCCUUAAAUGGACAAUAUAUCCUCUUUUGAAGCGAAGAAAAUUAUGGAAGAAAAUCCAUCCGUCACCAGAUGUUCUGUGUCUGAAGGGCUACUCAAAACUCCUGCAAAUUUCCUCAAAUAAGAAAAUCAAGUAAAACGAAAAAUUUCUAUCACUCAUCUAUUGAUAGUACUUAAUCAUCGAAAGUAAGAUCUUCUCAUAACUCAUGUAUGGAUAAUAUAAUUGUUAUUAAUAAAUCGCAAGAUUAAAAAAAAAUUAUUUUAUCUUUUCUGAAUCUCAUCGAUAAUACUUUAUCGAAUUUUCCUGAAAAGAACCAGUUGAUGAAGAAUCUACGGGUCAAGGUUGAGUCAAUUGGUAAUAAAUUGUUCCCAAAUGGUGAACUCGAAAAAAAAUUUUAGACUGUUACAGUGAAAUUGUAAAAACCUUAAAUAUAAAUUAAUAGAAUUAAGUAAAUAUAUCGCGGAUAUUGACAUUUUUUUGCUUUUAAAGACAUUAAAUGGUUAAAUCUCUCAGACAUAUUAAAGGGCUUCGAUGUAAUAAGGAAAGAUCACUUUGAACACCGUGAGCCCUAGGAAUUAGAAAUGAUAUCAAAUACUCAGAGAGAAGUCAGGUGUUUGUAGUGGAAUCAUCGAAGUAUAUGCUAUUAACCUCUUUGCGAAUUCUGAUAAGAUAACUUUUGUUUCAUGCUAUAGGCCCCUGACAGCCCUCUGAUUGGGACUUUUAAUUGGAAAAAAAUUUGCGGACGAUUUCCAAAUAGUUGUUUUUUCGGAGGAGAUUUCAAUGCACAUCAUGAUGUUUGGGGACACUCCUUUUUUGUGAUAACGGAGGAGAAACCGUUAUAGUCUCCCUUGACCCACGGGGUAAAGGAAUAUGCCGGACAAUCAUGUGGACGCUCGGGAUACGCAUCAGCAUGACUUCUAAACGACCCACGCGUCUCGCCCUCUUGGCGGAGAUUGUCAAACUGGUAUCAAAUUGCUGGAUGGUUUAACGGAAUUUAAUACGAUAUUGGUUUGGACUUUGAUUAGCAGGUAACUGGAGACUCUUGGGAAGUGACCAUUUCUCGAUUUUUAUAAAAUAUUGCUUUUCGGUUCUGGAUUACCAUCGCUAUAUAGGUUCUUCUAAAUUGCAUUCUUAAAUGAUUGGGAGUUUUUCAAUAAUAAAGUCGUAGAAUUAUUAGAAUCAUCCCCUCUCCA